AACGAACGCUGGCGGCAGGCUUAACACAUGCAAGUCGAGCGCCCCGCAAGGGGAGCGGCAGACGGGUGAGUAACGCGUGGGAAUCUACCCAUCUCUACGGAAUAACGCAUGGAAACGUGUGCUAAUACCGUAUACGUCCUUCGGGAGAAAGAUUUAUCGGAGAUGGAUGAGCCCGCGUUGGAUUAGCUAGUUGGUGGGGUAAAGGCCUACCAAGGCGACGAUCCAUAGCUGGUCUGAGAGGAUGAUCAGCCACACUGGGACUGAGACACGGCCCAGACUCCUAGGGGAGGCAGGAGUGAGGAAUAUUGGACAAGGGGCGCAAGCCUGGUCCAGCCAUGCCGCGUGAGUGAUGAAUGCCCUAGGGUUGUAAAGCUCUUUCACCGGUGAAGAUAAUGACGGUAACCGGAGAAGAAGCCCCGGCUAACUUCGUGCCAGCCGCCGCCGUAAGAC
rnacentral:rRNA from 1 species